GGGCGGAGACGGGGACGGGGAUGGGGAGCGGAGACGGGGAUGGUAUUAUCAUACCCGGUCCAUAACCGGCCCGUUGCCAUCCAUACUCAAGAACAUGGGCAACUCUAACCUUUUGCUCUUUACAGCAGCCCAGACACAUCUGUAGCUGUUGGAACGAAAAAGCCCUCAAACCCCUUUUGACCGUGGUUUCUCGUUUCAAUUUGCCCCAUGCCG
rnacentral:lncRNA from 1 species